rnacentral:rRNA from 1 species
GAGUUUGAUCAUGGCUCAGGACGAACGCUGGCGGCGCGCUUAACACAUGCAAGUCGAGCGAGAACCUAGGCUUCGGCCUAGGGGACAGCGGCGAACGGGGUGAGUAACACGUGGGUAAUCUGCCCUCGACAUCGGGAUAGCCCGGGGAAACCCGGAUUAAUACCGAAUAGCCCAUCCGCUUUUCGGAGCGGCUGGAAAAGGUAGCUUUGGCCUCUGGUCGAGGAGGAGCCCGCGGCGGAUUAGCUUGUUGGUGAGGUAAUGGCCCACCAAGGCGACGAUCCGUAGCUGGUCUGAGAGGACGAUCAGCCACACUGGGACUGAGACACGGCCCAGACUCCUACGGGAGGCAGCAGUGGGGAAUCUUGCGCAAUGGGCGAAAGCCUGACGCAGCGACGCCGCGUGCGGGAAGAAGGCC